AUAUAUGAAGGGCAAACCUGCCGAAAGACGGGGACGCAAAGCCAAGGGCCUAAGGAGUAACAUAAUUUUAUGGCAGCCAGUUGUAUGA
rnacentral:ncRNA from 1 species